AGUGAACGCUGGCGGUAGGCCUAACACAUGCAAGUCGAACGGCAGCACAGUAAGAGCUUGCUCUUACGGGUGGCGAGUGGCGGACGGGUGAGGAAUACAUCGGAAUCUACUUUUUCGUGGGGGAUAACGUAGGGAAACUUACGCUAAUACCGCAUACGACCUACGGGUGAAAGCAGGGGAUCUUCGGACCUUGCGCGAUUGAAUGAGCCGAUGUCGGAUUAGCUAGUUGGCGGGGUAAAGGCCCACCAAGGCGACGAUCCGUAGCUGGUCUGAGAGGAUGAUCAGCCACACUGGAACUGAGACACGGUCCAGACUCCUACGGGGGGAAGCAGUGGGGAAUAUUGGGCAAUGGGGGAAAGCCUGAUCCAGCCAUACCGCGUGAGUGAAGAAGGACUUCGGGUUGUAAAGCCCUUUUGUUGGGAAAGAAAAGCAGCAGGUUAAUACCCCGCUGUUCUGACGGUACCCAAAGAAUAAGCACCGGCUAACUUCGUG
rnacentral:rRNA from 1 species